UUAGAUCAGUCAUUCUUUAGCUUAUUUGAUCAGAAACUGUUGAGUGCUCACUAUUUAGAAAUUGAAUUAGAUACUUAGCAACUCAGAACUGGAGCAGUUUAACAU